GCCCAGACAACCAUCAGUGGUCUGGGGUGCAGGCUUCAAACUUGUAGCUGUCUCUAGUGCCAGAGUAGUUCAUUUCCACCUUUCAGGUG